rnacentral:lncRNA from 1 species
CAGACUGCUGCCAUGCCGGCUGGCUAGGUCGCUCUCUUCCCAUAACAGAGACAGGCCAACUGCUGGCCCCACCUCAUUUUCUCCAAGAAGACUGGUGGACACUGAAGAAACUCCACCCACAAAAGUGGCAACACUAGCCACUGAGCAACCUUGCCUUUCACCCCAACUGCUGCAAAGGACUCUUUGGACCGUGAACAAGAGGACAGUGGAAUCAAUUUUCUCCACUUUGCUUGGGACAACAGUAGGGGAAAGUGUAAAAGGUGACUUGAAAAAUCACAGUAGGAAAACUCGCUUCUGUAAGCAGGAAGGCUCAGGAUGGUGAGUGAUCUUCAAAGGCAAGGACUGGGAAAAUGAACAGAUAUCAAGAUCCCAGAAGUAGCUGAUGCAAAAAUCACAUCUCCCAACCAAAGAAGACAAGAGAGCUUCUGCUCAGGAGUCACCAGACAAGUCAUUGGAAUCUGUACAGCACUGGAUUCUCUUGAGCACCUAUAAAUUUUCGUAACAUCAGCUCCAAUAACCAUCAAGCCUGCAGAGUUUUCCUGUGUCCUUGAUGAACUGCAGUGCAGAUGUUUCUUGUUCAUUACUCUCUACAUCAAUGGAUGACUGCCAUCAAGCACCCUGAGCUCCUCUUUGACCAGAACAGCAAAAUAAAGCAGGCUAAAGUCAUCACAUAAAUGCUACAUUGCAGAAGUUACGUUUCUUUUGUUAAAAGGAGUGAAUUAAUGAAGAAAGAAUGAGUCUACAAGUAAACUCUCAGAAACAGCUUUACCCAAGUUAUGCUCGGUUCCAACUGCUCAGAGGCAGAUUCUUCUAUGGACAUAAGGCUACGCUUCCUUCCUCAAGUGAGAAGGAUUUACAAGACCACCACCAAAAACACUUCCCAAUGUACCUUCUAAGACCUUUCUCCAAGUAUGCAGCAUGUCACUUCCUCACCUGGUCAUCUUCUAAUCUGCCUUCCUUUCCUCAUUUCUUUUGAUUAUCCCUUCUGAGUUUGUUUCAAUAAAUCUAUCUACAUGCAGCACCUUGCCUCACACC